UCUGGGUGUUACAAGAUGAUUAUCACAGUUCCCCCUUCCCACCUUUGCUCUGGGGAGCGGUAUAUUUUGAGAUGGUCUUUGUUGUACUGUGAUUCAUCUCCAGUACAAUUUGGUUCCGGGACACGAGUGACUGUAUUAGAGGAUUUGUCCAAAAUCACUGCCCCUGAAGUGGCCAUCUUUCCCCCAUCGAAGCAGGAGAUCAAAGAGAAGAGGAAGGCCACCCUGGUGUGCCUGGCCACAGGUUUCUACCCUGACCACAUCAAGCUGGUUUGGCAGGUGAACGGUGUUGAGAGGAAAGAGGGGGUGAGGACGGAUGAAUCUCUACUGGACAAAAACAAAGAAAAAUACUCACUGACCAGCCGCUUGAGGACCUCACACCAGGAAUGGUCCAAUUCCAAGAACAGAUUCCAGUGCUUUGUUGAGUUCUACGGGAAUGAGACAAAAUUAUAUGAUAAAGUCGUCAGUGGUGUAGCUGAUUGCAGCGUCUCAGAAGAGUCGUAUCUGAGAAGUGCCAUGGCAGGCAUGAGUGUGUACGUUCUGCUCAUUUUCAAGAGCAUUUUGUAUGGGGUCUUUGUGAUGGGGCUAAUGCUAAGGAACAAGCAAAUGCAGUAGAAGAAGCUGGCCUGAGGUGGAUGACACAGAUACCUGGAGAAAGAAGGAGCUGCAGCUGCAUUAGUUUUACAAGUCCUGAUUUUUUUUCAGAAACCAGCAAAGCAUAUAGGCUUUUGUUACAAUAGUUGUACAAAGACAGCAGUGUGGGAUUGUCUGGCUGUAUUUGCUUGUUUGAAACAGCAGCUUUUAAUAAACACUUUUGAAAUCCUUAA